UCGAAGGUGGAAUCAAUAACUGGGGUGAAGUCGUAACAAGGUAGCCGUAUCGGAAGGUGCGGCUGGAUCACCUCCUUU
rnacentral:rRNA from 4 species